rnacentral:rRNA from 1 species
AUUGAACGCUGGCGGCAUGCCUUACACAUGCAAGUCGAACGGCAGCACGGGAGCAAUCCUGGUGGCGAGUGGCGAACGGGUGAGUAAAGUAUCGGAACGUGCCAGUCGUGGGGGAUAACGUAGCGAAAGUUACGCUAAUACCGCAUACGAUCUAUGGAUGAAAGCGGGGGAUCGCAAGACCUCGCGCGAUUGGAGCGGCCGAUAUCAGAUUAGGUAGUUGGUGGGGUAAAGGCUCACAAAGCCGACGAUCUGUAGCUGGUCUGAGAGGACGACCAGCCACACUGGGACUGAGACACGGCCCAGACUCCGACGGGAGGCAGCAGUGGGGAAUUUUGGACAAUGGGCGAAAGCCUUAUCCAGCCAUGCCGCGUGCAGGAUGUAGGCCUUCGGGUUGUAAACUGCUUUUGUACGGAACGAAAAGGUUUGGCCUAAUAAGCUGAGUUCAUGACGGUACCGUAAGAAUAAGCACCGGCUAACUACGUGCCAGCAGCCGCGGUAA